CAGAUACUUCCUAUUCCAGUCAGAGUUGCCUGACAUUUCAAGUGAACUAGAGCAAGAGGGCUGUGUAACAAUACCGACCUCUGCCGAACGCCCCGGCCAUGUAGCAACACGCGGCGCAGUACCCAGCACACCCUGGCCUUGUUGCACACCCAUUCUGCACAGCCAUGCCAAGAACCGUGUGCACCAGGCGCCUCCAAGAUGGCCGGCCAACAACGGAGGACCCCCAUGACUGCCUUUUGUAUGUCAAUGGCAAGACCGGUCCUAUGGGCUGGCCUCCAUUGCACUUGCACCAGAGUAAUGAUUAAAUUCAGGCCCAAGUAAGCCCAUUGACCUCAGCUGAGUUUCUCCAGUUCAUGCUGAUGUAGCCAAGAUCAGGUGCGACCUCUGUGUGAGAUGAAACAUCACUGGUUGAGCGUUCCUCCCUUGUGUUCAUCCAGAGCCAAAGGCCCAUGAUGGACAGUCCUAUGCUAAUGAGAUAAUACAAUAUACUAUCCAGCCAUCAGAUUGGACUGGGUAUCAUCUUUUCCAGGAAGAUCUGCAGUUCAAAUUGUCCUGGCAGUAUGUGCUGUCCUGAUGUCAACUGGCAAAUGACAAAACCAGCCCGGCAAUGAAGAAGCUUAUAAAGAAAUGUUCUGCAGCUCCAGCAGACGGCGCGUCCUUCAUUCCUCCAAGAUGCCAGCAAAGCCGUUUGCUUCAGUAGAGGUCCCCAUAUGGGAAAUACUGGAAGAAUUCAGUCAUUUAGCUAACUUUUUAUUAGUGGGCAUAAAAUAAGGAAACAAAAUAAACUGUCUUCCACCUGUCCUUCAAACCAACAUCUCUAGUAGCAAUGCUGAGAAGACUUUUUUUUAGAGAUUAAUAUAACAGUGAAAAGCUAAUUGACUUAAUUGUCUUAAACUGCCCCUCCCUAAAUAGGAGCUCUUGGAGGCACUGUUUCCUCAAAAAAAGAAGAGAGAAAAGCCAAGAAAAGCAAGAGACUUCUGUUCUCAGAAUUUAGUUUCCAACAGCGAUACACAGUGAUACUGUAGAGAAUGACACAGAACUGAUAGAAGCGUUAUCAGCAUGUUUUUUAGCUAUGAAAACUCCUCAGUUUCAAAACUGAAACAUUAAAGGUAAUUCAUAAGUGAAGCUGGGAUGCAGUGGAACAAUGUAUUAGGGAACUUAUGAAAGGAUUUCUACAAGUAACAGCUUAUUAUAGCUGUAGAUAGAAAGUAGGAAAGAAAAAUCCAUAUUGCUAACAAGUGGUAUGGUAGGAAAUAGGAACGUUUCUUGUUUAGGGAACAGUAGGAAAAAAUAAGAAUACAUUUCAUUUCCUAGAAUAUCUGUGCCUGAAAGAAGAAAUUCUAAAAACAACUGAUUAACAAGACAUUAUUUAACCUAUUAAUUAUUAUACAAGCAAAAUAACAAUGAUCAAAUGCUUUAAAAAAAAAAACAACAAAAACAAACAAAAACUAACAAAACCAGACCACCUUCAGAAAGGUUCAAAAUGUUCAAAACCAGACCACCUUCAAAUUUUAAGAUCAUAUCAAAUAAGAUUUUUUUAAAAGACAUCUGCAAAGUAAACUCAGUUUAAAGCUGAGUCACAGUAGAUGUUUGCAGGACUCCUUCUCCAGAUUAAAGUGCUGUCUGUUCAUUACAUACCACCUAAAGAAGUUUUGAUAUAGCAAGAAAAAAGAUGGUCAUCUGGGUGGUAUUAAGGAACUGUUGAUAUGAUAUGAACUAAGAUUAAAAAUAUUUAAAUGAAAAUCUGAGAAGAGGAUUCAAAGUUUCUGAAAGAAUACUCCCUGAAAUGUUUUGUGAAUCCUUUUGAGAGAGGAGGCUAUUUAUAUUGGGAAAGAGAAAACUACUUUGGAGACUGCCUUUCCAGUACAAACUAAUUAACUAGAAAUGACCACUAACUCUCACUUUAGAUGAAGUUAUAUAUUUGGAAAAGAUUUUUCAAAGUGUCCAGGGAUUACAUUGUCUAUAUUUCUCAGUUCUGCCCCAGAGACAGCCCGAAGGUUCUGCAAGGAUUUGGACCAGCAAGAAUCACAAGUCAGGGAAGAUGGUUAUAUUUCUAGACGUGUUGCAAGCUGCUUUACUCUUUUCAAUACAAUUUUUCUCUCAAAAAACUUUGAUUGCAAUUAAAUUAGUCUUUGGUUAAAGGAGGCAGCUCACAAUUCAACCAUAUUAAAUUUAUAGGUGAUUUUCAAUGGUAAUGAGAUGCCUACUAAAUAUUUUAAUUUAGCGGAAAACUUAUAGCACCUAUCUGGAAAAUGUUCAUUAAUGUUUUAUAGUGGGCCACAUAUUCUGAUACUAAGAAUACCCACAAAUGCAUUGUCCAUAAAGUUGCCACUUUCCAAUGAAGUCAGUUCUCGCUAUACUUGCUGCCUGACUGUUAAAGCCUUUCUGACUGUCUUCAUUCAAGGUCUAUGUUUUGCUGCAAUGUCUGCUUGUUUGUUGGAUUUGGCGGUUUGACUUUGGGUUUUGUUGUUAUUUUUUGUUUGGUUGGUUUUGUUUCUGUUUUUGCCAUCCUCCUUUAUUUUGGUCUCCCUUGGAUCACUGCCACCCUGAAAACAAAUGUUGAUUUCACAUAGUGAAGAGAUGCUCUUUAUUAUAAAUAAAGUCUAAAAAAACAUUUGUAUCACAUUUUGCACAAAUCCUAAUACCUAGCACUGGUUAGCUUUUACAAAGGAAUUAAAUAUUUUAAUACAAAGAUGCCUAAGUUUAGAAUUUCA